rnacentral:rRNA from 1 species
AUUGAACGCUGGCGGAAUGCUUUACACAUGCAAGUCGAACGGUAGAGGGGGCAACCCCUUGAGAGUGGCGAACGGGUGAGUAAUGUAUCGGAACGUGCCCAGUAGUGGGGGAUAACUACUCGAAAGAGUGGCUAAUACCGCAUGAGAACUGAGGUUGAAAGCGGGGGACCUUCGGGCCUCGCGCUACUGGAGCGGCCGAUAUCAGAUUAGGUAGUUGGUGGGGUAAAGGCCUACCAAGCCGACGAUCUGUAGCUGGUCUGAGAGGACGACCAGCCACACUGGGACUGAGACACGGCCCAGACUCCUACGGGAGGCAGCAGUGGGGAAUUUUGGACAAUGGGCGAAAGCCUGAUCCAGCAAUGCCGCGUGCAGGAUGAAGGCCCUCGGGUUGUAAACUGCUUUUGUACGGAACGAAAAGCCUGAGGCUAAUAUCCUCGGGGUCAUGACGGUACCGUAAGAAUAAGCACCGGCUAACUACGUGCCAGCAGCCG